CGUGAUUCCGGGAGUAGUGGCGAGCGAAACCGGAUGAGGCCAAACCGUAUGCGUGUGAGACCCGGCAGGGGUUGCGCAUGCGGGGUUGUGGGAUCUCUCUUGACCAGUCUGCCGGCUGGUCGACGAGUCAGAAACCGUUGAUGUAGGCGAAGGACAUGCGAAAGGUCCGGCGUAGAGGGUAAGACCCCCGUAGUCGAAACGUCAGCGGCUCGUUUGAGAGACACCCAAGUAGCACGGGGCCCGAGAAAUCCCGUGUGAAUCUGGCCGGACCACCCGCUAAGCCUAAAUAUUCCCUGGUGACCGAAAGCGGAUAGUACCGUGAGGGAAUGGUGAAAAGUACCGCGGGAGCGGAGUGAAAUAGUACCUGAAACCGUGUGCCUACAAGCCGUGGGAGCGUCGGAACACAGCUUGCUGUGUUCUCGUGACUGCGUGCCUUUUGAAGAAUGAGCCUGCGAGUUUGCGGUGUGUUGCGAGGUUAACCCGGGUGGGGUAGCCG
rnacentral:ncRNA from 1 species